GACGAACGCUGGCGGCGUGCUUAACACACGCAAGUCGAACGGAAAGGCCCUGCUUUUGUGGGGUGCUCGAGUGGCGAACGGGUGGGUAACACGUGAGUAACCUGCCCUUGACUUUGGGAUAACUUCAGGAAACUGGGGCUAAUACCGGAUAGGAGCUCCUGCUGCAUGGUGGGGGUUGGAAAGUUUCGGCGGUUGGGGAUGGACUCGCGGCUUAUCAGCUUGUUGGUGGGGUAGUGGCUUACCAAGGCUUUGACGGGUAGCCGGCCUGCGAGGGUGACCGGCCACAUUGGGACUGAGAUACGGCCAAGACUCCUACGGGAGGCAGCAGUGGGGAAUAUUGCACAAUGGGCGGACGCCUGAUGCAGCAACGCCGCGUGCGGGAUGACGGCCUUCGGGUUGUAAACCGCUUUCGCCUGUGACGAAGCGUGAGUGACGGUAAUGGGUAAAGAAGCACCGGCUAACUACGUG
rnacentral:rRNA from 1 species